UUGGUUAUGACCGAGCACGGCGUGGUCUGGCUUCCUGUGCCGGCGGUCGUCCCUAUGGCUAUUAUCGGGAGGGUCGCCUCCGUCGGGCCGGGC
rnacentral:tRNA from 1 species